rnacentral:other from 3 species
AAUUACCUGGGGUGUACGACAACCUGUUAUUUUGAACCUACAAAUUAUGCACGGGAACUUGAUUUACUUACUAGCUAUGUCAGGCCACAAGAUAAUUCCCUUUGGGCAGUGGAAGGCAGAAUAAGUAAGAAAGGUACCCACCUAGAGUAGUCUAGGGCGUCAAAAUCGCAGGACCGGCAUUUUGGGCAUUGU